GCCCGCGUAGCGCAAUGGUAGCGCGUCAGACUUCUAUAAGUCACAUGAAUUGUGAAUGUAUUGUCAUCUGAAGGCUGCGGGUUCGACCCCCGCCGUGGGUU